GCGGCGUCUCUGGGUAGGUAGCCGGCCCCGCCCUUCCAUGGAUUUCCCGACCCUCGCCUCGAAUUCAUUUCCUGCUCCACAUCCACCCUCUAACCCCGACCCCUGCUACAACCCCAGAGGCCGGACUCCUGGAUUCAUCUCCCUAGCUUCCCUGGGCCUGCCUUAGCCGCCAGUCGCAGCCGAGGCGAAGAGAGCGAAGGAGGGAAGUGGGGGCGGCUAGCUGGGGCUAGAAGGCCAGGAGAGGGCGGGGUGGGCGGCCGUUUGGGGUGGGGGUCAGGGUGACUCACUCGUCUGCAUUCAGGGCAGGUGUUGGCUCUGGUGCUGGUGGCCGCUCUGUGGGGUGGCACGCAGCCGCUGCUGAAGCGGGCCUCCGCCGGCCUGCAGCGGGUUCAUGAGCCGACCUGGGCCCAGCAGUUGCUACAGGAGAUGAAGACCCUCUUCUUGAAUACUGAGUACCUGAUGCCCUUUCUCCUCAACCAGUGUGGAUCCCUUCUCUAUUACCUCACCUUGGCAUCGACAGGCUGGUCCCAGACCUCAGAGUUCAGGUCUUCAUGCUGGAAUCCUGGGAAGCACUGAACGUGGAGUCAGGAGAUGUGGGUUUGAGUCCUGAGAUUUGCUGUGACUUCAUCUGGAAGAUGGGGUUUUGAUACCUUUUUUAAAGAUCUGACCCUGGCUGUGCCCAUCUGUAACUCUCUGGCUAUCAUCUUCACACUGAUUGUUGGGAAGGCCCUUGGAGAAGAUAUUGGUGGAAAACGAGCAGUUGCUGGCAUGGUGCUCACCGUGAUAGGAAUUUCACUCUGCAUCACAAGCUCAGUGAGUAAGACCCAGGGGCAACAGUCUACCCUUUGAGUGGGCCGAACCCACUUCCAGCUCUGCUGCCUCCAGGAAGCCCCUGGGCCAUGAAGUGCUGGCAGUGAGCGGAUGGACCUAGCACUUCCCCUCUCUGGCCUUAGCUUCCUCCUCUCUUAUGGG
rnacentral:lncRNA from 1 species